rnacentral:tRNA from 1 species
GGUAAAGUGGCUGAUUAUAGGCAGUAAAUUGUAAAUUUACUUAUGGGUUGUUCCCUUUAUCA